ACUACUUUCAACACCGGAUGUCUAGGCUCCCACAUCGAUUAUGAAUGAUUCGAAAUGUGAUAUGUUUUGCGAAUUGUAACACCUCGCGAAUCAUCCUAAUUCUGAACGAGAGCUGAGCUUCCCUGAGUUCCUGGUAGGUGAUUGUCU
rnacentral:rRNA from 1 species